rnacentral:tRNA from 3 species
GGCUAGGUAGCUCAGCUGGUUAGAGCGUGCGACUCAUAAUCGCAAGGUCGAGGGUUCGAGUCCCUCCCUCGCCA